CGGGGAGGGGGGAGGAGACGAGAAGGUUUUAAAAGCGAUUCGGCCCCGCGGCGGGCCGGCCAGUGAGUGGGGUGGAGCGCGGCCGGCGGCCGCCCCCGGACGGUCUCGGGCCCGCCGCCCGCCCGCCUGAGCCUCGGCCGGCCCGGCCCGGGGCGGCGGCCGGAGCCCGGAGUGCGCGCCCGGCUCCCCUCCCCCCGCGGGUGCCAGCCUCUGGCCCCGCCCGGUGUCCCCCUCACCCCUGUGCCACGGCCGGCUGGGGUUCCUGGGGAUGGGAUUUGCUUCCUGUCACAAAUCACAUUGCCAGGGAUUUCCAACCGACCCUGAGCUCUGCCACCGAGGAUGCCGCCCGGGGACGGGGUGGCAGAGGCCCCGAAGCCUGUGCCUGGCCUGAGGAGCAGGGCUUAGCUGCUUGUGAGCAGGGUCCACACCAAGUCGUGUUCACAGUGGCUAAGUUCCGCCCCCCAGGCCCUCACCUCCUCCGGCCUUGCCGCCUGUCCCCUGCUGCCGUCUGUCUGUCUGCCAUCCUGCUGCCUGGCCUCCCUGGGCUCUGCCUCCUGUGCCUACUGAGCUGAAACACAGUUGGUUUGUGCACACUGGCUCAGUUCAGCAGGAACAGGGGUCAAGCCGCCUUGGAGCCUGCAGCCCGUGGGCUGAUGCUUGGAGCAGAGAUGAGGGCUCAGAAUCAGACCUGUGUCUGGAAGAGGGAUGUGGUGGGUGGGUCUGGCUGGGCCCAGAUGUCUGCUGCAGGCCCUGACCCCCAACUCUGCAACUGGGGACCCCUCCAUGGCCACAGCUCAGGCUGGGCUGUGGUGCCAGCGUGGACAGGUGGGUGAGUGGGUGGCCCUUCCAUUAAAAGGGAAGCCAGCUGUGUCCUCUCCCAGGAGGCUUGGCCCCUCCUCUCCCAAGCCUGGCGGGGGCACUGGCCUGGCCCACACCUUCCUAGCAGCCAGUUACCCAAGAGGAAGCUGCCUUGGGCCUCCAGACCGUUAAAUGCCAACUCCUGGCUUCCGGUAUCAGGCUGGGCUGACCAGACCUGGCCCCUUCUUGCUGGGCCCUGCAGUUUUCUAACUUGCGGGGAGGAGCAGUGACACCCACCCCACAUGUAGGGCAUGGAACAAGGUCCAUGUGGACCCAGAAGGGACACAAAAGCAGGUCUGCUUAGUCCUGGGGCGCUGGGAACUCAGCUGGGAAUAGCUGAUCCUCCCUGCCUUGAGGGGGUUCUCAGGGCAGGGAAGAGUUAGGACUCUGUUGUUUUUGUUUUUGUUUUUCUGGGAGACAAAGUCUCGCUCUGUCUGCCAGGCUGGAGUGCAGUGGCACAUCUCAGCUCACUGCAACCUCUGCCUCCCGGGUUCCAGCGAUUCUCCUGCCUCAGCCUCCUGAGUAGCUGGGAUUACAGGUGCCUGCCGCCAUGCCUGGCUAAUUUUUGUAUUUUUAGUAGAGAUGGAGUUUCACCAUGUUGGCCAGGCUGGUCCCGAACUCCUGACCUCAGGUGAUCUGCCCGCCUCAGCCUCCCAAACUGUUGGGAUUACAGGCGUGAACCACCGGCCAAUUUUUUUUAUGUCUUGUAGAGGCAGGAUUUUGCCAUGUUACCCAGGCUGGUCUUGAACUCCUGACCUCAACCAAUCAGCUUGUCUUAGCCUCCCAAAGUGCUGGUAUUACAGGGGUGAGCCACCGUGCCCGGCUUUUUUUUGUUUGUUUCUGAGACGGAGUCUCACUCUGUUACUCAUGCUUGAAGUACAGUGGCGUGAUCUUGCCUCACCGCAACCUCCGCCUCCUGGGUUCAAGCGAUUCUCCUGCCUCAGCCUCACGAGUAGCUGGGCUUACAGUAGGUGCCCACCACCAUGCCCGGCUAAUCUUUGUAUUUUUAGUAGAGACAGGGUUUCACCAUCUUGGCCAGGCUGCUGUGAUCAUGGCUCUUUGCAACCUUGAAUGCCAGGGCACAAGUGAUCCUCCUGCCUUAGCCUCCCCAGUAGCUGGGAGUACAGGUAAUGCGCCACUGCACCUGGCUAAUUUUUAAACAUUUUUUGUAGAGAUGCGGGGGGACGGCUCUCACUAUGUUGCCCAGGCUGUUCUGGAACUCCUGGCCACAAGCCAUCCUCCCACCUUCGCCUCCCAACGCGCCGGAAUUACAGGUGUGAGCCACCGUGCCUGGCCUCUCUCCAUUACCUUGAAAUCAGAUGGGAGGAGGCUUUUUUCUGGGUGGGACUGAGGAGGCACAAUGAAGUCCCCCAGGUCAUCGGGGCUAGGCCAUUGCCCUUUUCCCCACCCUGGGUAGGCGUGGACAGAAGCUUGCUUGGAAUGGGAUGGAGAGGAGAGAUUGUGCUGUGUGUCAUGUCUGUUGUUCAAGUAAAUAAAAGUUGCCCUGACUUCAUUCCUGAA